rnacentral:rRNA from 1 species
UGCAAGUCGAACGUGAAACCCGGUACUUGUACCGGGAAGUAAAGUGGCGAACGGGUGAGUAACACGUUGGUGACCUGCCUCGAGGAGGGGGAUAACCGUGGGAAACCACGGCUAAUACCCCAGAUGUCUAAGGGUUUAGAAAGCUUAGACUAAAGCUCCGGCGCCUCGGGAGGGGCCUGCGGGCUAUCAGCUUGUUGGUAAGGUAAUGGCUUACCAAGGCUAAGACGGCUAAGGGGCGUGAGAGCGCGACCCCCCACAAUGGAACUGAGACACGGUCCAUACUCCUACGGGAGGCAGCAGUGAGGAAUAUUGCACAAUGGGGGCAACCCUGAUGCAGCAACGCCGCGUGAACGAUGAAGGCCUUCGGGUUGUAAAGUUCUUUUCUGAGGGAAGAUAAUGACGGUACCUCAGGAAUAAGUCCCGGCUAACUACGUGCCAGCAGCCGCGGUAAAACGUAGGGGGCUAGCGUUAUCCGGAUUUAUUGGGCGUAAAGCGCGUGUAGGCGGUUUUACAAGUUGGCUGUGAAAGCUGUCGGCUUAACUGGCAGAGGCCAGCCAAAACUGUAAGACUUGAGUGAGGUAGAGGAGAGCGGAAUUCCAGUCA